UCGGCUACCUGCCGAAAAAUGGACGAAGGGUUGAUGCCUCUUCAGGUACAGAUUAGGGAGGUUUUUCAUAGGAUUGUGAGGAGCAGGACAGAGAUUCUUGAAGCUUUAGAGCAAGCUGGAAAAGUGUCUGCACCUGCAAUGUAAAACGAUAAAAACCGAUUGCAGGGAAGAAGGGAAGAAAAGUAGCAUAAAUAUGAAUCAGGAGCUUCAAAAGUUUUUGAAGUAAAAAAAAAAAAAUUUGAUCCUGGAUUACCAGUUGAAGCAGCUUCUUUCUCUCAUCUUGGUUCUUCACAGUAGGAUAUUUAGUAUUGUAUAGAUGAAUCAACCACUAAGGUUGUGGUGGAGUAUAUGCAUUUUUUAAUCUCCUGGUUUGUUUUUUUUUUUUGGGGGGGCU
rnacentral:lncRNA from 1 species